rnacentral:rRNA from 1 species
AGAGAUUGAACAUAAGAGUUUGAUCCUGGCUCAGAUUGAACGCUGGCGGCAUGCUUUACACAUGCAAGUCGGACGGCAGCACAGGGAAGCUUGCUUCUCGGGUGGCGAGUGGCGAACGGGUGAGUAACAUAUCGGAACGUACCGGGUAGCGGGGGAUAACUGAUCGAAAGAUCAGCUAAUACCGCAUACGUCUUGAGAGGGAAAGCAGGGGACCUUCGGGCCUUGCGCUAUCCGAGCGGCCGAUAUCUGAUUAGCUGGUUGGCGGGGUAAAGGCCCACCAAGGCGACGAUCAGUAGCGGGUCUGAGAGGAUGAUCCGCCACACUGGGACUGAGACACGGUCCAGACUCCUACGGGAGGCAGCAGUGGGGAAUUUUGGACAAUGGGCGCAAGCCUGAUCCAGCCAUGCCGCGUGUCUGAAGAAGGCCUUCGGGUUGUAAAGGACUUUUGUCAGGGAAGAAAAGGCCGUUGCCAAUAUCGGCGGCCGAUGACGGUACCUGAAGAAUAAGCACCGGCUAACUACGUGCCAGCAGCCGCGGUAAUACGUAGGGUGCGAGCGUUAAUCGGAAUUACUGGGCGUAAAGCGGGCGCAGACGGUUACUUAAGCAGGAUGUGAAAUCCCCGGGCUCAACCCGGGAACUGCGUUCUGAACUGGGUGACUCGAGUGUGUCAGAGGGAGGUGGAAUUCCACGUGUAGCAGUGAAAUGCGUAGAGAUGUGGAGGAAUACCGAUGGCGAAGGCAGCCUCCUGGGAUAACACUGACGUUCAUGUCCGAAAGCGUGGGUAGCAAACAGGAUUAGAUACCCUGGUAGUCCACGCCCUAAACGAUGUCAAUUAGCUGUUGGGCAACUUGAUUGCUUGGUAGCGUAGCUAACGCGUGAAAUUGACCGCCUGGGGAGUACGGUCGCAAGAUUAAAACUCAAAGGAAUUGACGGGGACCCGCACAAGCGGUGGAUGAUGUGGAUUAAUUCGAUGCAACGCGAAGAACCUUACCUGGUUUUGACAUGUGCGGAAUCCUCCGGAGACGGAGGAGUGCCUUCGGGAGCCGUAACACAGGUGCUGCAUGGCUGUCGUCAGCUCGUGUCGUGAGAUGUUGGGUUAAGUCCCGCAACGAGCGCAACCCUUGUCAUUAGUUGCCAUCAUUCGGUUGGGCACUCUAAUGAGACUGCCGGUGACAAGCCGGAGGAAGGUGGGGAUGACGUCAAGUCCUCAUGGCCCUUAUGACCAGGGCUUCACACGUCAUACAAUGGUCGGUACAGAGGGUAGCCAAGCCGCGAGGCGGAGCCAAUCUCACAAAACCGAUCGUAGUCCGGAUUGCACUCUGCAACUCGAGUGCAUGAAGUCGGAAUCGCUAGUAAUCGCAGGUCAGCAUACUGCGGUGAAUACGUUCCCGGGUCUUGUACACACCGCCCGUCACACCAUGGGAGUGGGGGAUACCAGAAGUAGGUAGGGUAACCGCAAGGAGCCCGCUUACCACGGUAUGCUUCAUGACUGGGGUGAAGUCGUAACAAGGUAGCCGUAGGGGAACCUGCGGCUGGAUCACCUCCUUUCUA